rnacentral:lncRNA from 1 species
UUGAUAGAAAACGGCUCAUAUCGACUAUUAAAAUUAUAAAUUUUGAAACCCUUUGAUCAUUAGGUAAAUGAUGUCGAAAAGAUUUGAAAUUUAAUUUCUAAACAUUUUAAGUGGUAAGAUCAUAUUCAACGGUGCCAAUCGUCGAUUCGAAGGCUCCAUCAUCGAAAACAAAUGACUGCCAAUGGAAUCCGUUUGCUAUCGAUGGUAUUCUAACUCAAUUCUAUAUAUAUGUAUAUA